rnacentral:lncRNA from 1 species
UAGAAGGGUAUUUAUAGGAGAGGUCUUCUUGUCUACUAGUGUGACGUGGUAGACUGUUCCAGAGAAGUUGUCAUCAGAGAGUAUGUGAAGGAUGUGCACAACGGGACCCAUUCUAUUAUGGCAGUAUGAGAUUGUUAUGCUCCAGUGAAGUCCAAUGAUCUUCAGGGGUGUGUUCACACUUGAGGAGUGUUCACACCUACAAAGCAGGUGCCUGUCAAGGAUGCUUGGCGAG